GAUAUGGCACCCUCAUCUUAUAAGGCAAGAUGAAAGGCGCCACUUGGUUUAUAAAGCAGGUAGUUUGGGCACCAACUCUUGGCACCCCCUUAAGAUUUUAAGUGCUCAAGAGAGGAAGCAUAGCCCCUCUCUCUCUCCUUUCACAUCUAAACAAAAGAGGGGUGGGCCCCUCUUUCUUUCAUCCGCCCACUCCAAGGUAUGCACCUUUGGUCUUUCCAAAGAGGGAGGCACGUGCCUCUACUUUCUUUCCAAUUAAUCCUCGCCAC
rnacentral:lncRNA from 1 species